rfam:Cricetulus griseus cell line CHO-K1, whole genome shotgun sequence.
GCAUUGGUGUUUCACUGGUAGAAUUCCUCCUUCCCACGCGGGAGAACGGGUUCGAUUCCCGGCCAAUGCA